rnacentral:rRNA from 1 species
UACAGAGGUCCCGAGCGUUGUUCGGAUUCACUGGGCGUAAAGGGUGCGUAGGUGGUGAGGUAAGUCGGAUGUGAAAUCUCCAGGCUCAACCUGGAAACUGCAUUGGAAACUACCUUGCUGGAGGAUUUGAGGGGGGAUUGGAAUACUUGGUGUAGUAGUGAAAUGCGUAGAUAUCAAGUGGAACACCAGUGGCGAAGGCGAAUCCCUGGAAAAUACCUGACACUGAGGCACGAAAGCUAGGGGAGCAAACAGG